AAGUCGUAACAAGGUUUCCGUAGGUGAACCUGCGGAAGGAUCAUUAUCUAAAAUACGGUUAAGCAGCGCUGGAAACAGUGCUCCUGUAUUCACCCUUGUCUUUUGCGCACUCAUGUUUCCUCGGCGGGUCCUGCCCGCCGAACGGACAAACUUAUAACCCUUUUCAAAUUUCAAUCAGCGUCUGAAAUAAUUUAAUAAUUACAA
rnacentral:misc_RNA from 1 species